GGGGAGCAUCGUAUCAGCCACAGAGAAGCUAUUUGGAGCUGAAGCUGGGACCAUCACCACGCUGGACCAUAGCGAGGAACCAGUUUCUUUUAUUCUUUGUGGGAAAUAAACACACUGAUCGAUCUGCUGUUUUUUUUCCUCCUCAUAGCACAGACAAGUUUACGCAAGGAUUCUUUGGACGAAUUAAGAGGAUUAAAUACAUUACAGCUCUGACACGCGUGGAGUUAUUACUGUUUAUUAUUAUUAUCGGUAAAACUUGAUCACGAUGGCAGCAACUGAUGGAUUCAAGAGUCCAGCUGUGGACCGUCCUGUAGGAUAUAAGGAAAUACUGUCUCUUACACGGGAUGGACGGUGUCUCUUACUCUUGCUGCCCAAGUCCUGCUGCUGGACAAGCAGUUUGUCGGACAGACGAGUCUCUUGGGAUAUUUCACGCGUGUUUAAGGGAAGCCAGUGUUAUAAAUGGCUAACACCAUGAUGUUCUUUUGGAAAUUUGUUGUGGUGGAUUUUGGCACAUGGCAAGGAAUAUCCUGGAAUAUAUUUUGGAAGCGAUGCUCAGCAGAUGUCCAGCAAUUUGGAUAAUGACAGUACGCAUCAACUCAUCCAGCAGACUGAAAGAAUCCAAGUUCCCAGAAUAAGACGUCAACCUUUAAUUGCUUCCUAGAGAUCUUCUGAUAAUUUCAGAGGAGCACCAAGAAGAGGCUGACUAAUGGAAACGUGAUCUCAAAAGAUUCUACAGGAUCACACUAAAUCCUGGUUUGGACCUUGGACCAGCAUCCCCUGCAGCAGAUGUUUGCUCCUGGCAUGGCUGCUGACAAGCAUGAGCUCCAACACUGACAAUCUCUCACUCAGGAUCCAGCACCAGCAGCCUAGACUUGGAGAAGCUGUGACAUAAACUCAGCGGGACAGCAGAGUUUAUUCUGCUGCUCAGACAUUAUGGAACAGAUCAGUCAACCCUGUCUGGGGUUCUCCAUAGGAAAGUCAACGCGAUGAAUGUUCAUGUACUGUAGCUACCACAAUGGGUCUACAUACUAUCUGACAUUUUCUAAAUUGAUCUUGGAUUAAUAUUUUCCUGUAUAUGCAUCUGUUUUUGAUAUCCAGUGUUUAUUCACACUGUUGCUCAUACACUGUACUGUAGUUGUGACAUUUACUGUGUUAUUCUGGGACCAGUAUCAACAAGUUCUGGAGCUAUAAAUGGAAAAUAAUCAGAUGCUAUUUUCAAUUUUAAGACUUUUUUUUUUUUCAAACUGAAGGCAGUGCUUAUGCCAGCGCCUGCGCAUAAAGUUUAUCUAUUUAAGUGCACAAUAAACACCUCCUGUGGUGUAAAACAAAGGUAUAGUCAGCGAUAUUAAUCUAAUGUGCUUUUUGUCAAAUUCAGCGAAAAUAUCUCCUCAUGGUCCCUUCUAUCUGUCCAUUCUUUGUGUGUUCCUGCACAGCCCUGGCUCUGUACAUGAGAAACAAACUCGGACCUCGUCACUCACCACUAUUCCUGCAAGUCAUCAACAGGGGGUAUUUGUGCUCGUGCACAGGACGAGGAAGAGAAGAAGAGGGGAGAUGGGGGGAAAGGGGGCAGUGGGAGUGAAAGAUGGUGGAUCUAGCGUGUGGUAAUGUGCUGAGCUCCACAAUAUUAUCGCAUUGUGAAGAAGGAGAUAUGGCGAGAAACAGCCAUAGAGGAGAACAUUUGAAGACCAAAAACUGAAAAAGAAGUGCUACUAUGAGGCAAAGGCGAAAAGCCGCAUUAACAUCGGUUAGGCUUUCCAACAGUGUGUCCGGUAAUGUUAAAUUACUUUCCCCCAGACAUUCGGCUUACUUUCUAGUUUGCUGAGAUAUGCUGUUGGUGUGAUGUUAGCUACAGUACUAGGAGAGUUGUGAGCAUUGCUGUCUGGAGCCAGUGUGCUGGCUGUGCAACGUAAGAAGAGUUGAGAGGUUUUAUAGCCACGAAGACCUAAAUACAUAGUGUACUAGCACAGUGGGAUUAUUUGGAUUGAUGCAUAAUUCAAAAUGUUAUGACAGGUAAUGUUACUUUCCUGUUUUGGAAGUUGAGCUUCCUUGUCAGUUUAGCUCGUCUGUGGCAAUCACAAAGAAGUCAUUAUCAUCAAGGUGCUGAUGAAUCCAAACCAGAAAGUCUCCUAUUGACACUGCAUUUCACUUUGUCACAUUGGCAGCCUGUGUUAAUAUUUGUUAAUAAUCCUGUCAGGUUGUUUAUUGUCAUGAUGAUUUAUAGCUCUCUGUAACUUUUUUUGUUGUGUAUGUGAAACCCUAUUAGCAAAAAUUUAAAAAAAAAAAAGCUGUAUCCAAGCUGCUGUCUGUUUAUUUUCUCAUUGCAGCUGCAGAUCUGAAAGAUUAAUAACUAAUAGGAUGAUUUCAUGCUGUUCGUUAUGUGUCUGCAAAUGUGUGUCUGCUGUUAUUGUUCGUCAUCCUGGCUUCAGUACCAGUUAGGCCAGUAUUUGCCAAUCUGUUACUGUCUGGGGGACUGUCAGGAGUUGCAGCACUCUUUACUUUCUCAUUUUCUUUUCAGGCAAUUAGACACAGAAUAAAAGUGAAUUUUAAAGUGGAAAUGGACAAAUGUGACACUGAAACAUCGAUAAACUGAAUUGUUAAUGGAAAUUACUGGGUUUUACUUCACAGUGUGAAUAAAAGACCAGUUUUGAAGAAAUAUGGCACAAAAAUAAAAUUAAUUUACCUUGAUCACAAGAUUUGCUGAAAAAGAUGACAUCAUGGCAAAUGUGUUUGCUGAGUGUUGUUUCUGUAAAUCUUGUGUGUAUGAUGUUGACAGAGAAGUGUUAAAUGUCACAGUCCACGUCAACAUGAGUCAAACUGCAGGGAGUUUUUACCAUUUUGUGGAUAAAAAUCCCCACAGCCUAACCCUCACAGUGCAGCGACAUUCCGAGGUACAUUACAAAUGCAUUUUUUUUUUUUGUUUCCAAUUAGUUUGAGUGAGUUCAACAAUUCAGCACUGACUUCCCAUUCAACUGUCUUUCACUGUCAAUUUCAGCUGUGAUUCAAUAAGUUUUGACUUGGGGGGAGAAGCUGCAGGGGGAUGGGUGCGAGAGUGUGGGGUAGCAGAGUUGCUAAGGGGGUAAUUAUUCCUCAAGGGGUUGCUUAUUGUUGUCUUUCUCUUUGCGAUAAAACAAAGCGACCGGUCUAGUCUCCAUUGCAGUUUGCUUAGGCUUUUAUUCUGGCGCUUGACAAUGUCCUGACAAGUUGUUCAAAGCUUCAUAGAGAUCAUAUUAAGAAUCAAAUUUGUGGGGGACGGGGUCAGCGCCGUCUGAAAAUGAAAAGCGAUGUGAAUGCCCCAGCGCUGAUGUUUUGGAAGUUGAGCUUCAUGACAUCCUUAUGGGCUUGCUUACGGUCAACAACAUUAGCAUGUCAACAAUGCACUUCCCUGCUUGCCUGCCUGCCCCCCUUUUUUUUCCCCCCACUCGUUUUUUCACACACAUACACACAUACACAGCUCAGGGGAAAAAUGACCUCUCUGCAGCUCUCAAUUCACUGCACUUCUAUAGCCCUGAAUGGACCGGCUCAACAAAAGGUGACAUAAUUUUCUCAGGGUUUGAUUGGCCCCCUCCAUGCUACAGGAUGACAUCAUGCAACCCCCCUACCCCAACACAUUACAACCAGCACCAACACAUAUCCACCCCGCCACCCUCCUCCCCCUCCGCUCCAUGUUCUUGGAUGCUGGGUUGCUAAGACAACAGAGUUAGGCCCAGGCCGUGGGGCAGGACUUGGCAGUGUAUUGCGGCUUGGCUGUCCAUAAUGAGCUCAGGCUAGAGUUGCUCUUGUGUUUGCGGUAAACAGUCUUGGGAAAUGAUAGGGGAGAUGGGGAAAGGGGAGGGAUGAGGAACACUGUCUUGGAUAUAAUGGUGGGUUCUCUCUUCAUUCCACCUCUAUUCUAUAGGGAGUGUUGAUGUAAGUCUGCAGUUGGAAAAGUAUUUCAGCAAGUAGUGUCAAGCCACAAACUUUUAAUGUCGAGCUUUGUGACAACUGCUUAGCUCUCACUUGACGCUCUGCCAAGUUUUGGUACAACUUUUAUUGUGUCUCACUUUCCCUCGCCUGAGUUUCAAGGAAGGAGUGUGUGUAUUCAUGAGACAGAAGAUGUGGGGGCAUAUGAGCAGGGAUGGGGCAUCGCACACAGGCUGUGAUUAAUUUUGUGUAGUUAAUGAAUGCGUUGUGGCAGUGCAGAGGAUCUAUGUCUGUUUACUCUGCCCUCUGUGGAGUUUUUAUUGUCACCUUUAUCUGUUCUUUUCUUUUUUAGUAUGUCAGUAAAGCCACUCUGAUUUUUUGAGGUUGAGGUUUUAAUUUUAAUUUAACUUUCCAAGUUUGAAAAUAAAAAGCCA